rnacentral:precursor_RNA from 15 species
ACGACAAAGCUACCACUUAGCACCUGACCCAGUGUCCUGGGAUAGAUAGGCGAUCGCCUUGCAAUCCCCCUUUCCAUCCCGGGCAUUGGUGCCGCUGCUACCCUCACCACCGACUCCCC